GAGUUUGAUCCUGGCUCAGGACGAACGCUGGCGGCGUGCCUAAUGCAUGCAAGUCGCACGCACUCGCUUCGGCGGGUGAGUGGCGCACGGCUGAGUAACACGUGGGAACCCGCCCCCCGGUGGGGGAUAACGCGACGAAAGUCGCGCUAAUCCCGCAUACGUCCGCAGGGGGAAAGCGCUUCGGCGCGCCGGGGGAGGGGCCUGCGGCCCAUCAGGUCGUUGGUGGGGUAACGGCCUACCAAGCCGAUGACGGGUAGCUGGUCUGGGAGGAUGACCAGCCAGACUGGGACUGAGACACGGCCCAGACUCCUACGGGAGGCAGCAGCAAGGAAUUUUCGGCAAUGGGCGCAAGCCUGACCGAGCAACGCCGCGUGCGGGAUGACGGCCUUCGGGUUGUAAACCGCUUUUCGGGGGGACGAUGAUGACGGUACCCCCGGAACAAGCCCCGGCUAACUCUGUGCCAGCAGCCGCGGUAAGACAGAGGGGGCGAGCGUUGUCCGGAGUCACUGGGCGUAAAGCGCGCGCAGGCGGUCGCCAAAGUGUCGUGUGAAAGCCCCCGGCUCAACCGGGGGAGGCCAUGGCAAACUCGGCGACUGGAGCGGCGGAGAGGCCCCUCGAAUUGCCGGUGUAGCGGUGAAAUGCGUAGAGAUCGGCAGGAAGACCAAGGGGGAAGCCAGGGGGCUGGCCGCUGGCUGACGCUGAGGCGCGACAGCGUGGGGAGCGAACCGGAUUAGAUACCCGGGUAGUCCACGCCGUAAACAAUGACCACUCGGCGUGCGGCGACUAUUGACGUCGCGGUGCGCCUUAGCUCACGCGCUAAGUGGUCCGCCUGGGAACUACGAGCGCAAGCUUAAAACUCAAAGGAAUUGA
rnacentral:rRNA from 1 species